UACGGAGGGUGCGAGCGUUAAUCGGAAUUACUGGGCGUAAAGCUCGCGUAGGCGGCGUGAUAAGCCGGGUGGGAAAGCCCCUGGCUCAACCUGGGAACUGCAUCCGGAACUGUCAGGCUAGAGUGCAGGAGAGGAAGGUAGAAUUCCCGGUGUAGCGGUGAAAUGCGUAGAGAUCGGGAGGAAUACCAGUGGCGAAGGCGGCCUUCUGGACUGGCACUGACGCUGAGGUGCGAAAGCGUGGGUAGCAAACAGG
rnacentral:misc_RNA from 1 species